rnacentral:rRNA from 1 species
UCGAGGGGCAGCACAGGUAGCAAUACCGGGUGGCGACCGGCGCACGGGUGAGUAACGCGUAUGCAACUUACCUAUCAGAGGGGGAUAACCCGGCGAAAGUCGGACUAAUACCGCAUGAAGCAGGGGCCCCGCAUGGGGAUAUUUGCUAAAGAUUCAUCGCUGAUAGAUAGGCAUGCGUUCCAUUAGGCAGUUGGCGGGGUAACGGCCCACCAAACCGACGAUGGAUAGGGGUUCUGAGAGGAAGGUCCCCCACAUUGGUACUGAGACACGGACCAAACUCCUACGGGAGGCAGCAGUGAGGAAUAUUGGUCAAUGGGCGUAAGCCUGAACCAGCCAAGUCGCGUGAGGGAUGAAGGUUCUAUGGAUCGUAAACCUCUUUUAUAAGGGAAUAAAGUGCGGGACGUGUCCUGUUUUGUAUGUACCUUAUGAAUAAGGAUCGGCUAACUCCGUGCCAGCAGCCGCGGUAAUACGGAGGAUCCGAGCGUUAUCCGGAUUUAUUGGGUUUAAAGGGUGCGUAGGCGGCCUUUUAAGUCAGCGGUGAAAGUCUGUGGCUCAACCGUAGAAUUGCCGUUGAAACUGGGGGGCUUGAGUAUGUUUGAGGCAGGCGGAAUGCGUGGUGUAGCGGUGAAAUGCUUAGAUAUCACGCAGAACCCCGAUUGCGAAGGCAGCCUGCCAAGCCAUGACUGACGCUGAUGCACGAAAGCGUGGGGAUCAAACAGGAUUAGAUACCCUGGUAGUCCACGCAGUAAACGAUGAUCACUAGCUGUUUGCGAUACAGUGUAAGCGGCACAGCGAAAGCGUUAAGUGAUCCACC